GACACAAACUUGAAGUAGAAUAGUUGGGUAUGGUCAGCUGGUCUUACCAAUCCACUCUACUUCAAAUUUGUGCUC
rfam:Haemonchus contortus, ISE/inbred ISE, WGS project CAVP01000000 data, contig: Hcontortus_12868